UACGUAGGGGGCAAGCGUUGUCCGGAAUCAUUGGGCGUAAAGAGCGUGUAGGCGGCUUGGUAAGUCCGCUGUGAAAGUCCAGGGCUCAACCCUGGGAUGCCGGUGGAUACUGUCGGGCUCGAGUCCGGAAGAGGCGAGUGGAAUUCCUGGUGUAGCGGUGAAAUGCGCAGAUAUCAGGAGGGACACCAAUGGCGAAGGCAGCUCGCUGGGACGUGACUGACGCUGAGACGCGAAAGCGUGGGGAGCAAACAGG
rnacentral:rRNA from 1 species